rnacentral:tRNA from 1 species
GUGGGUGUAGCUCAGUUGGAUAGAGCACAGGAUUGUGGUUCCUGAUGUCGGGGGUUCAAUUCCCCUCAUCCACCCCA